rnacentral:rRNA from 1 species
GCCAGACUCCUACGGGAGGCAGCAGUGAGGAAUAUUGGUCAAUGGCCGGAAGGCUGAACCAGCCAAGCCGCGUGAAGGACGAAGGUGCCAAGCAUUGUAAACUUCUUUUGUCAAGGGACAAAAUCAGGCUCGAGAGCCUGACCGAGGGUACUUGAAGAAAAAGCAUCGGCUAACUCCGUGCCAGCAGCCGCGGUAAUACGGAGGAUCCGAGCGUUAAUCGGAAUUACUGGGCGUAAAGCGCACGUAGGCUGUAUGACAAGUCAAGGGUGAAAUGCCACGGCUCGACCGUGGAACUGCCUUUGAAACUGUCAAACUGGAGUAUGUGAGAGGGCGGCGGAAUUCCUGGUGUAGGAGUGAAAUCCGUAGAUAUCAGGAGGAACAUCAGUGGCGAAGGCGGCCGCCUGGCACAAAACUGACGCUGAGGUGCGAAAGCGUGGGUAGCAAACAGGAUUAGAUACCCUUGUA